rnacentral:rRNA from 1 species
AUACGGAGGAUGCGAGCGUUAUCCGGAUUUAUUGGGUUUAAAGGGUGCGUAGGCUGUUUUCCAAGUCAGCGGUGAAAUGCCGGGGCUCAACCCCGGAACUGCCAUUGAUACUGGGAGGCUUGAAUGCGGAUGCCGUGGGAGGAAUGAGUAGUGUAGCGGUGAAAUGCAUAGAUACUACUCAGAACACCGAUUGCGAAGGCAUCUCACGAAUCCGCUAUUGACGCUGAGGCACGAAAGCGUGGGGAUCAAACAGGAUUAGAUACCCUGGUAGUCCACGCAGUAAACGAUGAUAACUAACUGCCGGCGAUAGAGUGUCGGUGGCCAAGCGAAAGCGAUAAGUUAUCCACCUGGGGAGUACGACCGCAAGGUUGAAACUCAAAUGAAUUGACGGGG